UGCAUUUAUACCUUUGUGGAAUUCAACAUGCGAUACCACGGUAAUUAGCAUCAUGUAUUUUUUUUCUGUUAUCACUUUUCAUAAUUCUGUGUGUCAAAACGGCCCUUAGCAUCAUGCAGCGACCGGCUUAAUCCCAUUUCACUUUCAUAUCUUGAACAAGUACUCUUACACAAAAAAAAGAACCAAGUACUCUGGGAAAAAAAUUAUACACGUCUGAAAUGUCACAAAUAGGCGGUAAACUGUAAAUGAACCAUGAAUUUCGGUUCUAUGAGAUGGACAUAAACUCUAUUAUAUGAUUAUAAAAUAAGCAAUUCAUUCAUGGCAUUGAUCGGAGCAAGGUACCCCUUUUUUCUAUUUAGUUUGGUGAUUAUCAUCAAAAUUCAGCGAAAGGGAGAAAGGGGAAGAGAGGGCAGACUACAAUCUAGACCAUGCAUACGGAAUUCUCUCAUUACCUACCUAAUUAACAAUCACAAGGAUUCGUAUCUCCAUCUCCAUCUCUAUCUCUCUGUAAAAAAGGAUGGAAUUACAGAAAAUAAGAUUUAAUAAGAUAGACGAAUAUACGGAAAGCUUAAAUUGAGUAAUUGGAAUUUAAUAGGAAGCUUAAGUUGGUUGGGCCAAUAAAUAACCUUUACUGAAAAAUUACAUGACACGAAAAGCACAUCGAUCUACACAAGGACAAUUCAGAAAAGAUAAGAUCUGUCCUGUAUUUAAGAGCAAAUAAGUGGCAGAAAGUAGAUCAACCGACUGAUUGUAGCAAAUUAUUUCACCUGAUUGAAGAUUAGAUCGGCCUCAGCUAGCCAUGAUGGAUCUGGAUCCGGAUCCGCAUACGAUAAGAAGUAUACUACUGUAGUUCAUUCACACCUAAGCACGCGGUAAGAUAUAUAGAUCUAAAGGUAAUUGUGUCGUUGGGAAGGCAUAUGAUUAACUCGCAAUCAUUGGAGCAAAGACAAGAAGAAAAAUCAACCGGCCGGCCGCGGUAGAUGCUUGCGUAUCAUGGCCGGCCGCCAGAUUGAUUGCAAUCAGGGAGAAAGAGUCAAUUAGUUACCUGUAAUGGAUGACCCGUACGUGCGUACAGAUGGAUCGAAUU
rnacentral:lncRNA from 1 species